CCCGUCAUAGAUGGGUUAUGCUAUAUUUUAUAACAUAUGUUCACAUUAAAAUCCAGAAAAAUAACUCUAAUGCAUAUAGAGCUGGGUUUUAGACUCUGGGGUGAGGGGUAAUCAAAAGUUGCCUUCAUAUUAGUUGCUGAAUUUUUUUCCAAAGUGAAUAAAUAAAUAAAGGGUGCAUUGCUGAAACUAGGAAAGCCUCCCCAGUCAAGGAAAAUACAAGUGAUUAUUCCGAGGACCACUUGAACCUGGGCAUCACUCUAGCCGGCUUUCAAUUUCUCUGCUCUAUAUAUUUAAGGGCCUUACAGUUGCAUUAUUUGACGAAUGGGCCUUUUGUUUUUAUUUAUUUUGGGGGUUGGGAAACUUGGAUAGCUGUAAUGAUAGGAUAAGUUCCUCAACCAACCUAUUAAGAAGCUUAGAGCUCUGGCCCAUACUCGAAAAGCACAGCACAAGAAGUAGAGAUGCCAAAGAAUAUACCAAUAUCUUAAAUAUAUGCACAGGAGGCCCUUCUGGAAUAGUGAUAGAAUUAAGAAUACCUUGUAAUCAUUGUAGUCGAUAUUAACAGCUCCAUCAUGUCUGAGCACAGAUAUUGUUUCGCACUUUUUCGAUGCUCAAAGUACAGAAGUAAAGAAGACCUAAAUCUAGUUAACCAUAACUCACCUGUAGAAUAUAAGUUAUUCAAGCUGUCGCUUGCAUGCACAUACCUGUGUCCGGGACUUUUUGGUUGCAGUUUCUCACACUGGGAGCUGCUUUACCUGCCACUUCUUAUGCAGAUUGGUCCUCAAAUUUUAAUCAAUAGCCAAGAGUCCCAGCAGAAAUAUUUAUCUGCAAUCCAGACACAGCAUCAGCCUACAUGGGUGCUUUUGAAACAUUACUGGCUUCGACUAGUUAUGAUAAAAGGGUAAUGGUAAAGCACAGGCAUAUUGAAACAUUAUAGGAAUAGAAGAAAGGUUGGCUUCUAUGGGACCUAUUGGCUAGGUGACAAAAAAGUAUGCUUUUUGAAGACAAUUCCCAAAGGAAUAAAAUGCUGCCUUUGAAGUUCCAUGAUAAGACCCACAAAUAAGCAUCAAGGUAGAUGAUUCCAAAAUAAAGAGAGUGCUCUACAGGAAGUUGAGAGUAGAAAGGCGACAGGAAAAGGAAGGCCUAAAUAAAAUGACAAGUAGACAAGGGUAGAGCUCUCAAGUGUCGGAACUCGUUACUUUCAACAUAAAGGAGCAUGGUUUCUAAAGCAAGAUGUCACGGACUUAGUCGUUCACUAAGCUCGUGCGGCACUUAGACAAGCCAAGACGCUUGAUCUUGCUAAGUCAGCCUUACUCCCAAUACUUAGCUCGCUCGGCUAAGACACUCGCGACUCAAAAGCUUAAGAAGCUUGGUAGGCAACUCCUUAAAGAAUGGAAGCUCUUUAUUACUCAAAGAAGCUUUUACAAGUGCUUGGAAGCUCACUUGCUUGAUUAGGAAGUGAUUUGGGUGGUGCCUUGGCCAAAUGAGGCCCUCACCUAUUUAUAGGCACCAAGGGAACUCUCUAGAACCUUGGAGGGUUCCCUUACAAAUCAAGAAUAUUCUAGAACAUCCUACCCUAUUCUAUGUACAACCCUAUGUACAAGAAUAUACAAGAGAUUCCUAGAAGUCUCUAGAAAGCCUUGGACUCCUCCCAUGCCUUCCACCAUAGUGUAGAGAUGUGUGGACAUCUCUAGGCAUUUCUAGAACCUUCCACACUCUUCCCACCAAUGACUUAGUGUAGAUGGCUCCAGGAGUUUCCAGAAGCUUCCCUCCUCCUAUAUAAGCCCAUGGGGAGGGUCAUUUGAAGCAUCCUGUGACAAAGAGGAACCCUAGUUUCUUAAGGAAGAAUGGAUGUUGGUUAUGCUACAACAUUUAGUAGUUCUAAUGAUGCUGCUGCUGUCAGAUGGCACAUCAGAAAGAGCGUAGCUUCUGUUUGGAUGGAGUUGAUUACUUGCACUGCUACAAA
rnacentral:lncRNA from 1 species